UUUUGAGCUACUGGUAUAUGUCCCACUUCGUACGCCCACAUGUGCAGGUGGAACGCGCCCUAGCCUCACCAGACCUGCUCAGUGCCAUUAUUAUAAGUCAAAUCCCAGUUCCACAUAACUCGCUGAACACAGUUCUGUCCACAUAUGCAAUCUGGAAAAAGAUGGCUGUCAAAUACGGCGUGACCGUAAGAUAUUCCCCCCUAUUACCCAUCAGAUACAUCCCGGGCAUCCCACUCACGAAUGAAAAAGUUUUCCUAACCUGGGCCGAUAAGAUAAAUGUCCACUCCUUCGGGGACCUCUUCCCAGAAGGCACCUUCCUCACCCAACAAAUGGCCAGGGACAGGGGGGGAACACCUCCCUGGAUAUAUUCCUUUAUUUUAGACUACGCCACACCCUGCACAAACUGUUUCCUUCAUUCCCAAAACAACCCCCCACAUGGGAUCUGUUGCACAACACCAUCCAGGCGCGGGGAGAGGGGAGGCUGGUAUCGCGACUUUACAAUUCCCUCGUGGCAGACACAGGAACACCUAAUCCUAAAACACAGCAAAAAUGGGAAUCUGCCGUUCAGUCAUCAAUAAGCGCAGAAGACUGGUCUUAUAUCCUGCGCCAAACUCAAAAAGUCGCAAUAAAUACACGCUUUAAACUAAUACACUUCAACUUUGUUCACCAAACAUACUACACUCCAGUUAAGAAGCAUCAGCAUCAUCCAGAAGCCUCGACCCAAUGCGACCGGUGCACGGCGCCACACGCAGAUUUCUUUCACCUAGCAUGGGAUUGCCCGGGAAUUCAGCGCUUCUGGUCUCAGUCUUACAAAUAAUUGCAGACAUCAUAGGGAACGGGUGGCCCCGCUGCCGUUGGCGGCUCUUCUCGCCUUACUAGACACCUACAACCCGCAUCCCGUAAACUAGCGUCACUCCUGCUGGUCCUGGCCCGAAGGCGAGUCGCCAUGGCGUGGAGCCGCGGCCCACUACCCAAAAUCGAAGACUGGAAGAAAGACAUAACAUACUGUCAGGAUGUAGAGAGUGAAUUAUAAGAACCCUUCCUUUGCACGCUCGCCCCCCGGACAUUGGGGACCAUACAUCGCAUAUCUGCUAAAUAGUACUGUAUCAUCUGAUUCCGAAACCACUGGAGCGUGAAAUGGGGCUUUGUGAUUGAAGAACUAAUGUAUAACCUCGACCUGACUCGAGUCAGUCUUAAGCAAUGAACGCAUUGAUACUUGUUUUGUUGACACGGGAGUGGUGGGGCGGCCUUGGUGGAAAGCUCGUUAGUGGGUAACGUUAUAUUAUUCCUUUCUCUUGUUCUUUCUUUCACCUUCCUUUCCCCUCUCCGCUUUCCCCCUUUCUCUCCUUUGUUAUUAAGAGGAUGCACCAUGUUGGCGCACGUGUACCGAUGUCUAUGAAAAGUUCAAAAAUAAAGUUUAAAAAAAAAAAAAAAAAGAUCCUCAGUUAGGCGGAUGUGAGGUGGGAGUGAGUUCCACAGCGUGAGGGCCAAAGCUGAGAAUGAUGAUCCGCCUAACGUGACUGUGUUUGUCUUAGGUAUGACUAGGCGGCUGGCUGAGCUUGAUGUUAGGGUGCGUGGAGGGUGAUCGGGUUUUAGCUUGUCUUGAAGAUAUUUGGGUCCGGUUUUAUGAAAUGCUCGAUGGGAGAUGCAUAAAGUUUUGAAGUCACCCUUCGGGCCACUGGAAGCCAGUGCAGCGUCUUAAGGGCUGGGGAGAUGUGGUCUCUUGGGCCGAGCGCAAGUAGCAGUUUGGCUGCGGCGUUUUGUGCCCUUUGGAGUUUAUUCAGUUGUAACAAAAGAGUUACAAGGGAUUCAAUGCGGCAUACCGAAAUGUCCCAAAAAAGGGCUCAAAAGUGGGAGGGAAAACCGUCAGCAGUUAAGGGGUUAAAGCAAAGCAUCGCGAAAGCCUACGGUGGGUGUUGAUGCAAUGUGAUGUGAUUUCUGCCCAGUGCUCUGAAAGUGAAGAAAUUCAAUGAAGAACGAGUAAAUGGCAGGUGUAACUAUGACUCUCUUAAGGUAGUCAAAUGCAUCGUCAUCUAAUUAGUGAGGCGCAUGAUUGGAUGAAUGAGAUUCCUAUGGUCUCUUCCUACUAUCUAGCAAAACCACAGCCAAGGAACAAGCUUAGCGUAACCAGCGGGAAAGAAGACCCUGUUGAGCUCGACUCUAGUCUGGCACUGUGAAGAAACAUGAGCGGUGUAUGAUAAGUGGAGGCCCUCGGGCUGCCAGUGAAAUGCCACUAAUCUUAUAAUUUUUUUCACUUAUCCGCUGAAGCAGGGGGGGGCAAGUCCCGUGGGGCUCUUGCUUCUGGUUCCAAGCACCCAGUGCCCGCCAGGCGCAACCCGCUUUGGGGAUAGUGGCAAGUGGGGAGUUUGACUGAGGCGGUACACCUGUCAAAGGAUAACGCAUGUGUCCUAAGGCGAGCUCAGGGAAGACAGAAAACUCCCACGCAGCAGAAGGGCAAACGCUUGCUGGAUCUCGAUUUUCAAUAUGAAUGCAGACCAUGAAAGCCUCACGAUCCUUCUGACUUUUGGGUUUCAAGCAGGAGGUGUCAGAAAAGUUACGACAGAGAUGACUGGCUUGUUGCACCCAAGCGUUCAUAGCGACGUCGCUCUUUGAUCCUUUGAUGACAGCUCUGCCUAUCAUUGUGAAGCAGAAUUCACCAAGCGUUGAAUUGUUCACCCACUAAUAGGGAAUGUGAGCUGGGUUUAGGCCGGCGUGAGACUGGUUAGUUUAUUCUACUGAUGUGUUGUUGCAAUAGUAAUCCUUCUCAGUAUGAGGAACCACAGGUUCUGACAUUUGGUGUAUGUGCUUGGCUUAGGAGCCAAUGGGGCGAAGCUACCAUCUGUGGGAUUAUAACUGAACGCCUCUAAGUCAGAAUCCCCCUCUAAACCAUAAUGAUACCGCAGCGCUGUGGAGCCUCGGUUGGCCUAGGAUAGCCGGCCUCUGAGCCAGUCCGUAGAGCCGCUCUACUCAGGACUCUAGUGCAGACAGAAGGGGACCUCCUCUCUCGCCCAUAGUGCAUUGCAUGUUCG
rnacentral:rRNA from 1 species